UACGAAGGGGGCUAGCGUUGCUCGGAAUGACUGGGCGUAAAGGGCGCGUAGGCGGUUUGUACAGUCAGAUGUGAAAUUCCUGGGCUCAACCUGGGGGGCUGCAUUUGAUACGUGCGGACUAGAGUGGGGAAGAGGGUCGUGGAAUUCCCAGUGUAGAGGUGAAAUCGUAGAUAUUGGGAAGAACACCGGUGGCGAAGGCGGCGACCUGGUCCUUGACUGACGC
rnacentral:rRNA from 1 species